CUCAGACUUUCGCCUCUGAAGGAAGACCUGCAAGGAAGUACCUUGAUACAUCAUUUUCCAACCCAGAACAUGAAUAUCACAGAGUCAAGGAUCAUAAACAAGAAAUUUCCUCCAACACACAUGAAUAUGAAAAAAGUAUCGACGGUGCCGAUGAACUUGUCUACCAUAUUGACUAUAAUGGGCCGAAAACGCAUCCGAAUCCACCCGAUCAUCCAUAGCCAUAGGCUAUGUAUCAACUUUCAAGAUGACAUGAGCUACUUAUACAUGUACUGCACUACAGACACACAUUUUUCUGUAUAAUCUAUCAAAUGCUCUCUUUUAUUCAUGUAACAAUUAUAUAUACAAUCUAUCAAAUGUCAUGUGCUAUGAUCACAAUAAGCACUUAAAUGUGAA